rfam:Thaumarchaeota archaeon 13_1_20CM_2_39_20 13_1_20cm_2_scaffold_142, whole genome shotgun sequence.
GGACCCGUUGCAUAGCCAGGAUAGUGCGGGUGGCUUCGGACCACCAGGUCGAGGGUUCGAAUCCCUCCGGGCCCU